rnacentral:rRNA from 1 species
UGGGGAAUCUUGGACAAUGGGGGCAACCCUGAUCCAGCCAUGCCGCGUGAGUGAUGAAGGCCUUAGGGUCGUAAAGCUCUUUCGCCUGUGAAGAUAAUGACGGUAGCAGGUAAAGAAACCCCGGCUAACUCCGUGCCAGCAGCCGCGGUAAUACGGAGGGGGUUAGCGUUGUUCGGAAUUACUGGGCGUAAAGCGCACGUAGGCGGACCAGAAAGUUGGGGGUGAAAUCCCGGGGGGCUCAACCCCGGAACUGCCUCCAAAACUAUUGGUCUAGAGUUCGAGAGAGGUGAGUGGAAUUCCAAGUGUAGAGGUGAAAUUCGUAGAUAUUUGGAGGAACACCAGUGGCGAAGGCGGCUCACUGGCUCGAUACUGACGCUGAGGUGCGAAAGUGUGGGGAGCAAAACAGGAUUAGAUACCCUGGUAGUCCACACCGUAAAACGAUGAAUGCCAGUCGUCGGGGUAGCAUGCUAUUCGGUGACACACCUAACGGAUUAAGCAUUCCGCCUGGGGAGUAC